GGGCCAUUAACUCAGAGGCUAGAGUGCCAUCUUCACACGGUGGAAGUCACUGGUUCAAAUCCAGUAUGGCCCACCA
rnacentral:tRNA from 1 species